rnacentral:misc_RNA from 1 species
GAUGAAGAACGUAGUGAAAUGCGAUACUUGGUGUGAAUUGCAGAAUCCCGUGAACCAUCGAGUCUUUGAACGCAAGUUGCGCCCGAAGCCAUUAGGCCGAGGGCACGCCUGCCUGGGCGUCACACGUCGUUGCCCCCCCAUCUACUCCUUCGGGAUUGCGGGGGGCGGAUGAUGGCCUCCCGUGCGCCUCGUCGCGCGGUUGGCAUAAAUGCCAAGUCCUCGGCGACACACGCCACGACAAUCGGUGGUUGCGAAACCUCGGUUGCCCGUCGUGUGCGGUCGUCGCGCAUCGAGGGCUCGAAAAAAUUGCCGGGCUCCGGCUCGGCUUUCAACGCGACCCCAGGUCAGGCGGGGUUACCCGCUGAAUUUAAGCAUAUCAAUAAGCAGAGGA